AACGAACGCUGGCGGCAGGCUUAACACAUGCGAGUCGAGCGCCCCGCAAGGGGAGCGGCAGACGGGUGAGUAACGCGUGGGAAUCUACCCAUCUCUACGGAAUAACGCAUGGAAACGUUUGCUAAUACCGUAUACGUCAUUCGGGAGAAAGAUUUAUCGGAGAUGGAUGAGCCCGCGUUAGAUUAGCUAGUUGGUGGGGUAAAGGCCUACCAAGGCGACGAUCCGUAGCUGGUCUGAGAGGAUGAUCAGCCACACUGGGACUGAGACACGGCCCAGACUCCUACGGGAGGCAGCAGUGGGGAAUAUUGGACAAUGGGCGCAAGCCUGAUCCAGCCAUGCCGCGUGAGUGAUGAAGGCCCUAGGGUUGUAAAGCUCUUUCACCGGUGAAGAUAAUGACGGUAACCGGAGAAGAAGCCCCGGCUAACUUCGUGCCAGCCGCCGCCGUAAGAC
rnacentral:rRNA from 1 species